rnacentral:tRNA from 1 species
GAGGGUAUAGCUCAGUGGUACAGUGCACACAUAGCAUGCACAAGGUCCUGGGUUCAAUCCCCAGUACCUCCA